rnacentral:lncRNA from 1 species
CAAUCGUGUGUACAUCAUUGGGAAUGGAGGGAAAUAAAUGACUGGAUGGUCGCUGCUUUUUAAGUUUCAAAUUGACAUUCCAGACAAGCGGUGCCUGAGCCCGUGCCUGUCUUCAGAUCUUCACAGCACAGUUCCUGGGAAGGUGGAGCCACCAGCCUCUCCCUGAAUAACUGGGAGAUGAAACAGGAAGCUCUAUGACACACUUGAUCGAAUAUGACAGACACUGAAAAUCACGACUCAUCCCCCUCCAGCACCUCUACCUGUUGCCCGCCGAUCACAGCCGGAAUGCAGCUGAAAGAUUCCCUGGGGCCUGGUUCCAACUGCCCACUGUGGACUCUGAGGCCUCUGCAUUUGCGGGUGGUCUGCCUGUGAUAUUUUGGUCAUGGGCUGGUCUGGUCGGUUUCCCAUUUGUCUGGCCAGUCUCUGUGUGUCUUAAUCCCUUGUCCUUCAUUAAAAG